UUCCGUAGGUGAACCUGCGGAGGAUCAUUAAAAAAUUGGACUCCAUUGGUGAGUUCAUUAAUAAUCCCUACCCUUUGUGAAUUUGUUUGUUUGAAUAAUUUUUUUUCCAAAAAAAAUUAUUGAAUGUCUUUCCUUGUUUUGGUGGAGCUUGUAAAGUGAAACCAGGCAGGGGAAUGGCAAACAAUAAUUAUUUUUGAAAAAGACCUUUUUUUAAAAUUAAACUUUUUGUAUUCAUUUGUCUAAAAUUAAUUUUUAUAAUAUAAAAACAACUUUUGACCAAUGGAUCUCCUUGGUUCUCGCAACGAUGAAGAACGCAGCAAAAUGCGAUAAGUAGUGUGAAUUGCAGAAUACGUGAAUCAUCGAAUCUUCGAACGCAUAUUGCACUUUUUUAGUUUACUAAAAAAGUAUGUCUGUUUGAGUAUCAGUAAAAUAUUCUCAUAAAAACAUUGUUUUUUUAUGGUUAUGAGUGUUUUACAACGAUAACAAGUUGUUUCACUUUAAAUUCUUUGUUAUCAAAAAAAUCAUUAAAAGCUAAUUUAAAGAUUUUUUAAAAUUGGAUAAAAAUUUUCCCGUAAAAAGGAAUAACCUAAACAAUUUUAAAAAAUUAAAAUUGGUUUGAUUUUUUUUGAAACCCAAAGGAAAAAAAAACGAAAUUAACUUGAUCUCAAAUCAGAUAAGAGUACCCGCUGAACUUAAGCAUAUCAAUAAGCGGAGGAAAAGAAACUAACUAGGAUUCCCUCAGUAACGGCGAGUGAAGCGGGAAGAGCUCAAAUUUGAAAUCUUCAAGGUUUUACCUUGACGAAUUGUAGUUUAAAGAAGUGUUUUCUGUUGGAGUUUUGGUAAAAGUUCUUGGAAAAGGACAUCAUAGAGGGUGAGAAUCCCGUAUUUGACCAUUAUCUCCAGCUUUUGUGAUACACUUUCAAAGAGUCGGAUUGUUUGGGAAUGCAGUCCAAAAUGGGUGGUAAAUUUCAUCUAAAGCUAAAUACUGGCGAGAGACCGAUAGCGAACAAGUACCGUGAGGGAAAGAUGAAAAGAACUUUGAAAAAGAGAGUUAAACAGUACGUGAAAUUGUCAAAAGGGAAGCGUUUGACACCAGUGUUGUUUUCUCGAAAAUCAAUUAAAAAAGGCCGGAUUUUGUGUUGUAUUGACUUUAUCAGCUUUCUGCACUCUUUUCUUGUCUUUUUUAAUGCACUUUUCGCUUAACAAGUCAACAUCAAUUUCUUUUGUUGUAAAAGGGUCAUUGGAAGGUGGCUUUCUUUUCGGAGAAAGUGUUUAUAGCCUUUGGCCUCUGCAAUCGGAGAGAUUGAGGUCUGCAGCGUAGAUCCUUCGGGGUUAGAUACAUUUGUGCUAAGUUAUAGCCUUUCAUAGACAACUUGUUGACUAUGAUCAGUCAUGUAGCUUACUCGCUUAUGCUAUUUUACCUACGCUUAGGAUGUUG
rnacentral:misc_RNA from 1 species